CAGUGUUCCCAGCUGGCUGCCAUGGCAACGGCAGGCUUCAGAGCCAUUCAUCUCGGUCUGGACAGCUUCCCCUGCUCGCACUAGCGCUUUGUCUCCCUAAGUGGCUAAGUGAGGUGUGAAAGGGUCUGUGGUGACUGGACAAAGGAGCACAAAGGGCAGAAGGUGGGUCAUGCGCCCCACACUGAGCAGGCACCCUGGGGGGUCUGAGAGGCCAGGGAGGGGGUCUGGGCCAGCUCCCUAACAGAGGGCCUGGCUGCUGGAGAAGCAGCUCAGAACACAGAGAUGGCCAUGCCUCUCCCAAAGACCUCUGCCUGUGAGCCUCAGCUACUUGCCCAAGAGCCAUCCUAGAAAGGAGAAGUACUGGUUACAUCCCAGGGAGGAAGUCAAGCUGCUCCAGACAUCAGCACUCCACUUCACAAACUCACCACCCAUGGUCUCUCCUGUGGGGACCUCAGCUUUGCACCUGGAUGUGCCAACCUGGCUCCUGCAUUUCCAUACCCCAACGCAAGAGUCUCAAUGCAAGGGCUGUAACAUGCCAGCAGUGUCUGUACAAGCAAACGAUGGCACUCAUAGCAGAUGGAGGGCGUGGGGCGGUGGAGCUGUGCCUUCCCCUCUCCUGAGGCCCCUGGGCUUCGAGCAGUCUUCACGCUCCUGAGUUCUUUCUCAGAAUUCCCUCCUAAACCUCUUAACAAAUACAAAGAAAAAUGAAGAAAAAAUUAGGACAAUGUCCCAGGAGCCUCAAGUAAAAACUAGGAAGCAGCUGGUGGUGGAUGAAAAGCCAUGCCAGGGAGAUAGAAAUGGAG